rnacentral:rRNA from 1 species
ACGGGUGAGUAACACGUGGAUAACCUACCUAUAAGACUGGGAUAACUUCGGGAAACCGGAGCUAAUACCAGAUAACAUGUUGAACCGCAUGGUUCAACAGUGAAAGACGGUCUUGCUGUCACUUAUAGAUGGAUCCGCGCCGCAUUAGCUAGUUGGUAAGGUAACGGCUUACCAAGGCAACGAUGCGUAGCCGACCUGAGAGGGUGAUCGGCCACACUGGAACUGAGACACGGUCCAGACUCCUACGGGAGGCAGCAGUAGGGAAUCUUCCGCAAUGGGCGAAAGCCUGACGGAGCAACGCCGCGUGAGUGAUGAAGGUCUUCGGAUCGUAAAACUCUGUUAUUAGGGAAGAACAAAUGUGUAAGUAACUAUGCACGUCUUGACGGCACCUAAUCAGAAAGCCACGGCUAACUACGUGCCAGCAGCCGCGGUAAUACGUAGGUGGCAAGCGUUAUCCGGAAUUAUUGGGCGUAAAGCGCGCGUAGGCGGUUUUUUAAGUCUGAUGUGAAAGCCCACGGCUCAACCGUGGAGGGUCAUUGGAAACUGGAAAACUUGAGUGCAGAAGAGGAAAGUGGAAUUCC